rnacentral:rRNA from 1 species
GACGAACGCUGGCGGCGUGCUUAACACAUGCAAGUCGAACGGAAAGUGCUCUUCGGAGUGACUCGAGUGGCGAACGGGUGAGUAACACGUGGGUGAUCUGCCCUGCACUUCGGUAUAAGCCUGGGACACUGGGUCUAAUACCGGAUAGGACCUCGGGAUGCAGGUCCUGUGGUGGAAAGCUUUUGCGGUGUGGGAUGGUCCCGGAGCCUAGCAGCUUGUUGGUGGGGUGAUGGCCUACCAAGGGGACGGGUGGUAGACGGCCUGAGAGGGUGAACGGCCACAAUGGGAUUGAGAUACGGCCUAGACUCCUACGGGAGGCAGCAGUGGGGAAUAUUGCACAAUGGGCGCAAGCCUGAUGCAGCGACGCCGCGUGAGGGAUGACGGCCUUCGGGUUGUACACCUCUUUCAGCAUCGAAGAAGCGCAAGUGACGGUAGGUGCAGAAGAAGGACCGGCCACCUACGUGCCAGCCGCCGCCGUAA